rnacentral:rRNA from 1 species
ACGAACGCUGGCGGCAUGCCUAACACAUGCAAGUCGUACGUGAAAGUCUUCGGAUGAGUAAAGUGGCGCACGGGUGAGUAAUACAUGGGAAUGUACCUAUUGGUGGGGGAUAACUACGGGAAACCGUAGCUAAUACCGCAUGAGCUCUUGAGCAAAGAUGGCCUCUAUUUAUAAGCUAUCGCCGAUAGAUCAGCCCAUGUCCCAUUAGCUAGUUGGCAGGGUAAUAGCCUACCAAGGCUACGAUGGGUAGCGGGUCUGAGAGGACGAUCCGCCACACUGGGACUGAGACACGGCCCAGACUCCUACGGGGGGCAGCAGUGGGGAAUUUUGCACAAUGGACGAAAGUCUGAUGCAGCAAUGCCGCGUGAGUGAAGAAGGCCUUCGGGUUGUAAACCUCUUUCGACAGGGAAGAAGGGUAUGCUUGUGAACAAUUAGCGUACUGGACGGUACCUGUAUAAGAAGCACCGGCUAACUCCGUGCCAGCAGCCGCGGUAAUACGGAGGGUGCAAGCGUUGUUCGGAAUGACUGGGCGUAAAGAGCGCGUAGGCGGGUUCGUAUGUCAUCUGUGAAAGCCCCGGGCUUAACCUGGGAAUUGCAGGUGAAACUGCGAAUCUUGAAUACUGGAGGGGAUGGUGGAAUUCCUGGUGUAGAAGUGAAGUUCAUAGAUAUCAGGAGGAACACCUGAGGCGAAGGCGGCCAUCUGGCCAUGUAUUGACGCUGUGGCGCGAAAGCGUGGGUAGCAAACAGGAUUAGAUACCCUGGUAGUCCACGCCGUAAACGAUGGAUACUAGGUGUUCGGAGUAUUAACCCUCUGAGUACCGUAGUUCACGCAUUAAGUAUCCCGCCUGGGGAGUACGGUCGCAAGGCUAAAACUCAAAGGAAUUGACGGGGGCCCGCACAAGAGGUGGAGUAUGUGGUUUAAUUCGAAGCAACGCGCAGAACCUUACCUGGGCUUAACAUUUCGCGACAAUCUCAGAGAUGAGACUUUCUCUUCGGAGACGCGAGGAUAGGUGCUGCAUGGCUGUCGUCAGCUCGUGUCGUAGGAUGUUGGGUUAAGUCCCGCAACGAGCGCAACCCCUACCCUUAGUUACCAUCAUUAAGUUGGGGACUCUAAGGGGACCGCCGGUGUUAAACCGGAGGAAGGCGGGGAUGAUGUCAAGUCCUCAUGGCCCUUACGUCCAGGGCUACACACGUACUACAAUGGCAAGAACAAACCGUUGCGAAGCCGAAAGGUGGAGCUAAUCGGAAAAACAUUGUCUCAGUCCGGAUUGAAGUCUGCAACUCGACUUCAUGAAGCUGGAAUCUCUAGUAAUCGUAGAUCAGCACGCUACGGUGAAUACGUUCCCGGGCCUUGCACACACCGC